UACGAAGGGGGCUAGCGUUGUUCGGAAUUACUGGGCGUAAAGGGCGCGUAGGCGGUCGAUCAAGUCAGGCGUGAAAGCCCCGGGCUCAACCUGGGAACCGCGCUUGAGACUGGUGGGCUAGAGUUCGGGAGAGGAUGGUGGAAUUCCCAGUGUAGAGGUGAAAUUCGUAGAUAUUGGGAAGAACACCGAUGGCGAAGGCAGCCAUCUGGACCGACACUGACGCUGAGGCGCGAAAGCGUGGGGAGCAAACAGGG
rnacentral:rRNA from 1 species